GAUGAACGCUGGCGGCGUGCCUAACACAUGCAAGUCGAACGGAGUUUUUAUUAUGAAGUUUUCGGAUGGAUUAAUAAUAACUUAGUGGCGGACGGGUGAGUAACGCGUGGGUAACCUGCCUCAUACAGGGGGAUAACAGUUGGAAACGGCUGCUAAAACCGCAUAACAUUGCGAUGUCGCAUGACAAUGCAAUUAAAUAUUUAUAGGUAUGAGAUGGGCCCGCGUCUGAUUAGCUAGUUGGUGGGGUAAUGGACUACGAAGGCGACGAUCAGUAGCCGGCUUGAGAGAGUGACCGACCACAUUGGGACUGAGACACGGCCCAAACUCCUACGGGAGGCAGCAGUGGGGAAUAUUGCACAAUGGGGGAAACCCUGAUGCAGCGACGCCGCGUGAGUGAAGAAGUAUUUCGGUAUGUAAAGCUCUAUCAGCAGGGAAGAAAAUGACGGUACCUGACUAAGAAGCCCCGGCUAACUACGUGCCAGCCGCCGCAGUAA
rnacentral:rRNA from 1 species